UACGGGGGGGGCAAGCGUUGUUCGGAAUUACUGGGCGUAAAGGGCUCGUAGGUGGCCAACUAAGUCAGACGUGAAAUCCCUCGGCUUAACCGGGGAACUGCGUCUGAUACUGGAUGGCUUGAGAUUGGGAGAGGGACGCGGAAUUCCAGGUGUAGCGGUGAAAUGCGUAGAUAUCUGGAGGAACACCGGUGGCGAAGGCGGGUUGCUGGGCUGACACUGACGCUGAUGCGCGAAAGCUAGGGGAGCGAACGGG
rnacentral:rRNA from 1 species